UGCAAUUAUUGGCCGCCAUCUUUGAUUUUUAUAGACGUUCGGGCAAAAGGAGAAAUGUAUAUCCAGACAUGGACUAUAGCUAGAUACUAACUUUUGUGUUAGUUGUUUAGUUGAAAUGUAAUCUUAUUUCUGUAAAAGAAAAAAACAACAACAAACAAAUCAGCCUUUUUUUUUAUAUCAAUGUCAUCAAUGUGUAGGCCUAAUAUUAGACUUUCAAUGAUUCAGAAGUUUCUCUACAGUUUCGUUAUUUUUUUUUCCAGUCAUUGAUGUUAGCAUGUACUACACAAAGAAAAACAGGCAAAGCAUGAAGCCAAAGAAAAUGUUUUUACCAAGGCAUGUUCCUCAAUAGCGGAGAGAGUUUUAUCCAGUGUCGGUUCUGCAGAAGAACCCAUUCAUAGCAGACCACCCAUUGCAGCACUUGUAAGGUCGCUAUAAAGAACCCGACAGACUCUGCGACCAAAAGAUCCCACUGACGUGUCGUCAAGCCUUGACGAAGAUUUCAUCGAUCAUAGUGCACCGGGAUUUUAUCAAAAAAG